UAGCCUAGUGUUUAAGGCUAUGGAUCGCCAAUCCGGAGACGGCGGGUUCGAUUCCCGU
rfam:Aedes albopictus isolate Foshan contig151807, whole genome shotgun sequence.